AACGAACGCUGGCGGCAGGCUUAACACAUGCAAGUCUAACGCAUCCUUCGGGGUGAGUGGCAGACGGGUGAGUAACGCGAGGAAACGUGCCCUUCAGUUCGGGAUAACCCAGGGAAACUUGGGCUAAUACCGGAUACGUGCGAGAGCAGAAAGAUUUAUCGCUGAAGGAUCGGCCCGCGUCUGCUUAGCUAGUUGGUUGGGUAAUGGCCCACCAAGGCGACGAUCAGUAGCUGAUCUGAGAGGAUGAUAAGCCACAUUGGGACUGAGACACGGCCCAAACUCCUACGGGAUGCGGCAGUGGGGUAUAUUGGCCAAUGGCCGCAAGCCUGAUCCAGCCAUGCCGCGUGAGUGAUGAAGGCCUUAGGGUUGUAAAGCUCUUUCGUCCGGGACGAUAAUGACGGUACCGGAAGAAGAAGCCCCGGCUAACUUCGUGCCAGCCGCCGCAGUAAGAC
rnacentral:rRNA from 1 species